rnacentral:rRNA from 1 species
CUACGGGGGGCAGCAGUGGGGAAUAUUGCACAAUGGGCGAAAGCCUGAUGCAGCGAUGCCGCGUGAGGGAAGAAGGUCUUCGGAUUGUAAACCUCUGUUUUCAGGGACGAUAAUGACGGUACCUGAGGAGGAAGCUCCGGCUAACUACGUGCCAGCAGCCGCGGUAAUACGUAGGGAGCGAGCGUUGUCCGGAAUUACUGGGUGUAAAGGGAGUGUAGGCGGGAAAACAAGUCAGAUGUGAAAACUAUGGGCUCAACCUGUAGACUGCAUUUGAAACUGUUUUUCUUGAGUGAAGUAGAGGUAAGCGGAAUUCCUAGUGUAGCGGUGAAAUGCGUAGAUAUUAGGAGGAACAUCAGUGGCGAAGGCGGCUUACUGGGCUUUUACUGACGCUGAGGCUCGAAAGCGUGGGGAGCAAACAGGAUUAGAUACCCGUGUAGUC